rnacentral:lncRNA from 1 species
GUGGUGAUGCCGCACGUUCCUUCUUCCAUCCCGUUUUUGUCUCUUUUGCUUCUCUCUUUUCUGGCUCCAGCUCUUUAUUCUCUUUGUCCCACACUUCUAACCAUGUUGAUAACUAGGGGAUGCUCUCCCACAAACCAGAUGUUUGCUUAUGGUGGAUCAUUGAAGCUGAGUGGUCCUCAUGGAGGAGCUCAUGCUUAUAAGAGCAAGUGUUGCGUGGAAUCCUUCAAUCUCAUCACCCAAAAAGUUACUUCAUUCAUACAGGGGUCAGCUGUAUGUCAGAAAGGUGUACUUCAAGUGAUGAAGAUGAAGAUUCCUAGGUAAGCUGGCUGUUGGCGUCAUUCUACAGAAAGCUCUCACAAAACACCAAAACUUUUGGAACGAUAUGAGGAUAAAACGUUAAUGAUUACCAUUUUUAGAGGACUGGGUGUUGUGGUGGUUUCAAAGUAUUUUUAAGAUAGCAGUAUUCCAGCAAUAUGCUUAGUUAAUAUUUUUUUGGAAUUUAUGGGUUUAUAUGCAUAAAGUGCAAAUGCAUGAUAUAUAUAUAUUUAUAUUCUAUAGGCCACCACAGUUAGGAACUCCUACAGCUUUUACACUACAAGGGUUUCACAUGGGGCUUAAAAUUUUUUUUAAGAUGCAUGAAUGCAGCCUAAUUCAAGACUGUUUGUUUUUGUUAUUUCUAUGCAUUGCCAAUAUAGAAAAGUAAACAUACUCAAGAGAAAUUAACUCAUGCAAUGUAAGGAAGUAGAUAU